UACGUAAGGUGCGAGCGUUGUCCGGAAUUAUUGGGCGUAAAGAGCUCGUAGGCGGUUUGUCGCGUCGGCCGUGAAAACUUGGGGCUUAACCCCAAGCCUGCGGUCGAUACGGGCAGACUUGAGUUCGGCAGGGGAGACUGGAAUUCCUGGUGUAGCGGUGAAAUGCGCAGAUAUCAGGAGGAACACCGGUGGCGAAGGCGGGUCUCUGGGCCGAUACUGACGCUGAGGAGCGAAAGCGUGGGGAGCGAACAGG
rnacentral:rRNA from 1 species